rfam:Vigna angularis cultivar Jingnong 6 chromosome 1, whole genome shotgun sequence.
AUCUAGUGGUGUGGACAACUUGCACAAAGCUUCUUAAAUCUUUCCCAGUAUUCAUAUUAGCUUUCACCACCGAGCUGCCUAAUCCCAGAAAUAUCUUUCCUUAUGGC